CCCCUUAAUCACAACUUUGAGCCCAAUUAUUUUUGUCGCCUGAGGCCUAUAUCUUUUUAAGAUUUAUCGGGGACGGCUCUAUUUAUAUAAAAAUAAACACUUUAUCUGUAAACUAUCAAAGUAUGAUUAUUUAAAUUUGUAAUUACAUUAUAUUAAUGUUAAGUGAAAGGGUCACAUUUUAUGCUUAAAGAUGGAACAAAUUUAAUAUAUAGUUAUAUAAUUUACCAUGAACUUUUCAAAAGAAAAAUAUAUUUUACCAUCAGAGAGGUUGGUUAUCAACAGACACGACCACACUCCCCCAAAUAUCUCUCUCUCUACCAACACACAAACAUAAAUCUUUCAGAAUUAGUAACAUGACUCUCCCUUUGACGUGAUUUGGGAUCGUUAUUUCCGGCGAAUGGAGAUAUGGGUGGCAAAUCAUCGGCGAUGGCAACAAAAAUGAUCCAGAUCUGGAAAGAGAGAGAGAGAGGGGCGGUAGGAUGUUCAAAAUAACCGACUGGUUGGUGUUUUGAGGCAACUUGCGUUGCGGCUGUUGGAGUUUCGGUUUCAAAGUGAUUAAUUGAGUUUCUAAAUGCAACGGUGGGGGUUAUAUAUGGUGUGAAAUGGUGGCAGACGACGGGGGAAGGGCUGUUGGAGGAGACGCAGCGGUUUGGUUAUAACUGUGAAGUCAUCACGGUAAAUGACGGUUGGAGAUGGAAUAGUUAAACGUGGUAGUUGCCGGGAAUUGUUACUGGGGGGAAAGAAACGGUGGGAACGGUUACUAUUAGUUUCAUUAUGGUUGACGGAAAACGGUGACCCUGUGAAAUGUGACGGUUUUAAACGUUGAUUACUUCAAAUGGUGCAUCCCCGUAUUCAUAUUCAUAACAUGUCGGUUUGUUUUUUCUUUUUUUCAAACGGUGCGUCGUUAUGGAUAUCAAUUGUAAAGUUCCGAUGUUCUAUUGUUUUCAUUGAUUCCAUAACGUUGUGACCGCUGUUGUAAAGUUCCGACGGGUGUUCUUGUUUUUUAUUGGGUCCAUAACGGUGUGACCAUAACGGUGUGACCAUAAUGGUGUGACCACCGCUGCAAAUUUCCGACGGUGUGUUCUUUUGUUCUCGAA